UUUUUUUUUUGGAGGGUAGUGAUUUGCAUCCUGCACAUUUUUAACACAGCAGCAUACUGCAUUACUACUAACGUUUGUACUCGCUUCAGUCUGGAAUGGAGUGAUGCUGGGAAAAUGGGAGUGAAAGGUCUGAAUUCAGGAGGGCUGCAGCUCUUCCUAAUUUUAAGUUUUUACCACUUAUUUCUAUAUUUCCAAUUUAAAAAAAAAAAGAAUUAGAUUUGAGCCACUUUUAUUUGUACUGAAUUUUUAAACUGGCUUUAUAUUAUGAUUUGCAAGAUUUCACACCACCAAGCCCCCUCACAUAGUGCAGUUUUGGGUGCCUGAAUUUCAGCAGUAUUUUCCUUGCUGUUAAAAUGGAUAGAAAUGUAAAAUUCAAAUAUUACUAUAUUAGACUUGGAAAAUGUGAUAACUAGCUGGGAAAUUGAAGCUCAUUUUAGAGCUGAAUGAACUGCUUGUCAAAUCAAAUGUAUUGCAUCAGUUGAUUCCCCUAGCCAUUGCAUGAAUUAAAUGGUUUGUUCAUUCCUUUCUCAACAUAACUGACAGUUGCUGUGAACCUGACUACUCCUGAGGCUUUCUGUUGGCUCCACCUCUUUUUGAGCCUUCUCCUGGAGUGAGUUGCAUACUCCCCAGGAGGUGGCAAGAUGUCUGUAGAAUACCUCCAGCGUGACUGGCAGCUCCUAGCACAGGUUUGCACAGGUCUGAUAUCCAGAUAUUUCCAUAAACACCACACAAAUACUGUUAAAGUAGAUGUGUGACCCUGAGAAGUUCUCUUGCAUAUAGUACUAGCCAUUUUUGCAGCCCUCCACCAUCAGCUGACAUAGUGUAGUAAGAAGAGCUCUGUAGUCAUUACAGCUGUAAGCUGUGGCUCUUUUACUCUAUGCAGAGAGCUCAUUUUCCACAAGUGGUUCACAUGCUGCCUUUCAGACUGCCUACUCUGCCUCCUGAAGGUGCAGAAUGUGAGUUCUCCCUUACUAAUGAUGGAAUAGCACUUUUCUGAUUUGGACAGGAAAGGUUCUUUGCCAAAGAGUCUUUGUUUCUGAUUCUUUUCUGCUGUACCCCAUUUUUUACUCUUGCCAUGGGUGGCACUAUUUCAUUUGUGUGCAGUUAAUGCUAGUCAGCCUUGAAGCCAAGCCUGAAGUAGUCUGUGGAAUGAGAUACAAAACUUAGGUGGACAUGCGCUGGCCUUCAGGGAGCAUGUAAGCUUGUGCUGAUGUCCCACUGAAAUCUGUGGAGCUGAGCAUAUACUGAAAAUUGACCAUAUCUUUAGUUACUUUGCUGAAUGGGAGGUUUAAAGAAUAGUUGCAAAAUAAGUCUGUUAAAUAGCCACUCCUGGAAAGUCUCAGUCUGUGCCAUGUUAGCUCUUCCAUGAAUUACCUGUACUUCGUAUUUCUUGUUCUAUACUGAGCAUACCUUGAAUGUGACUGAAUUUGCAUUCUUUCACAAGAGGGCAAUACUCAUAUGAGUAAUGAGAGGUUAAAACUCCAUGGGACUUCUGUCCUUAAGGUAAGCACAUUCUAACCCCUUGUCUUGGGUAACUGUUGUGAUUACAUGGAAGUUCCGUGAUUGCAGAUUAUGCUGAAACAAGCUGGAUCACGUUAAACCACAUCAAGUAUACUUCAUUGUAUUUGUCACUGAGAAAACUGACAGGAUAAAGAAAAAACAUAUUUAAGAAGUAAAGUUGUGCUUAAAAAACAGCAGAUUAGCAACAGGCUACACCAGCCCAGGUUAUUUAUAUCAGUUGUAUCCUUUCUGAAUUAGGAAAAAAGUAACAGCACAAAUGUAAAAACAAGCAAUUCCCACGAGAAUUUGUGUUUUCCCACUUUUCAGAGUUGUUUCUAUGGGAUGUUUUUAGUAUCGAUUGCUCACCAAAGAAAGAGGUGUGCUGCUGGUCAGGAUUUAGAUAAAUUCCUGUGCUCU